rnacentral:rRNA from 1 species
GACGAACGCUGGCGGCGUGCUUAACACAUGCAAGUCGAACGGUAAGGCCCUGCUUUUGUGGGGUGCUCGAGUGGCGAACGGGUGAGUAACACGUGAGUAACCUGCCCUUGACUUUGGGAUAACUUCAGGAAACUGGGGCUAAUACCGGAUAGGAGCUCCUGCUGCAUGGUGGGGGUUGGAAAGUUUCGGCGGUUGGGGAUGGACUCGCGGCUUAUCAGCUUGUUGGUGGGGUAGUGGCUUACCAAGGCUUUGACGGGUAGCCGGCCUGAGAGGGUGACCGGCCACAUUGGGACUGAGAUACGGACCAGACUCCUACGGGAGGCAGCAGUGGGGAAUAUUGCACAAUGGGCGGAAGCCUGAUGCAGCAACGCCGCGUGCGGGAUGACGGCCUUCGGGUUGUAAACCGCUUUCGCCUGUGACGAAGCGUGAGUGACGGUAAUGGGUAAAGAAGCACCGGCUAACUACGUG